AGUGAACGCUGGCGGUAGGCCUAACACAUGCCAGUCGAACGGCAGCACAGUAAGAGCUUGCUCUUACGGGUGGCGAGUGGCGGACGGGUGAGGAAUACAUCGGAAUCUACUUUUUCGUGGGGGAUAACGUAGGGAAACUUACGCUAAUACCGCAUACGACCUACGGGUGAAAGCAGGGGAUCUUCGGACCUUGCGCGAUUGAAUGAGCCGAUGUCGGAUUAGCUAGUUGGGGGGGUAAAGGCCCACCAAGGCGACGAUCCGUAGCUGGUCUGAGAGGAUGAUCAGCCACACUGGAACUGAGACACGGUCCAGACUCCUACGGGAGGCAGCAGUGGGGAAUAUUGGACAAUGGGCGCAAGCCUGAUCCAGCCAUACCGCGUGGGUGAAGAAGGCCUUCGGGUUGUAAAGCCCUUUUGUUGGGAAAGAAAAGCAGCAGGUUAAUACCCCGCUGUUCUGACGGUACCCAAAGAAUUAGCACCGGCUAACUUCGUG
rnacentral:rRNA from 1 species